CAUACCAUUUGCAAAAGUAGACAACCCAAGGUAUUGCAAGUGGGGUUUGUCCAGUCUUUUAUAGUAGCUACUUAGUCACAAACACUGUUCAAAGUUAGCGUUCAUAUUUGUUUUUGUGUGAAAAAAGCAAAAAAACUAAUAUUUGGCCAGUGUUUGUGACUAAGUGACUACUAAAAAUGACUGGACAUACCCCAUUUGCAAUACCUUGGAUUGUCUACUUUUUCAAAUGCAAUG
rnacentral:miRNA from 1 species